rnacentral:rRNA from 1 species
GAUGAACGCUGGCGGCGUGCCUAAUACAUGCAAGUCGAGCGAACAGACGAGGAGCUUGCUCCUCUGACGUUAGCGGCGGACGGGUGAGUAACACGUGGAUAACCUACCUAUAAGACUGGGAUAACUUCGGGAAACCGGAGCUAAUACCGGAUAAUAUAUUGAACCGCAUGGUGCAAUAGUGAAAGACGGUUUUGCUGUCACUUAUAGAUGGAUCCGCGCCGCAUUAGCUAGUUGGUAAGGUAACGGCUUACCAAGGCAACGAUGCGUAGCCGACCCGAGAGGGUGAUCGGCCACCCUGGAACUGAGACACGGUCCAGACUCCUACGGGAGGCAGCAGUAGGGAAUCUUACGCAAUGGGCGAGAGCUUGACGGAGCAACGCCGCGUGAGUGAUGAAGGUCUUCGGAUCGUAAAACUCUGUUAUUAGGGAAGAACAAAUGUGUAAGUAACUAUGCACGUCUUGACGGUACCUAAUCAGAAAGCCACGGCUAACUACGUG